AGAGUUUUUUCCUGGCUCAGGAUGAACGCUAGCGGCAGGCUUAACACAUGCAAGUCGAGGGGCAGCGGGGAGGAAGCUUGCUUUCUCCGCCGGCGACCGGCGCACGGGUGAGUAACACGUAUGCAACCUGCCCCUGUCAGGGGGACAACCCGCCGAAAGGCGGGCUAAACCCGCGUACAUGCCACCGGGGCAUCCCGGAGGCAGGAAAGGCUUCGGCCGGACAGGGAUGGGCAUGCGGCGCAUUAGGCAGUAGGCGGGGUAACGGCCCACCUAACCGACGAUGCGUAGGGGUUCUGAGAGGAAGGUCCCCCACACUGGUACUGAGACACGGACCAGACUCCUACGGGAGGCAGCAGUGAGGAAUAUUGGUCAAUGGUCGGGAGACUGAACCAGCCAAGCCGCGUGAGGGAGGAAGGUACAGAGUAUCGUAAACCUCUUUUGUCAGGGAACAAAGACUGGGACGCGUCCCCGGAUGAGUGUACCUGAAGAAAAAGCAUCGGCUAACUCCGUGCCAGCAGCCGCGGUAAUACGGAGGAUGCGAGCGUUAUCCGGAUUUAUUGGGUUUAAAGGGUGCGCAGGCGGUCUGUUAAGUCAGCGGUCAAAGCCCGGGGCUCAACCCCGGCCCGCCGUUGAAACUGGCAGUCUCGAGUUGGAGAGAAGUAUGCGGAAUGCGCGGUGUAGCGGUGAAAUGCAUAGAUAUCGCGCAGAACUCCGAUAGCGAAGGCAGCAUGCCGGCUCCACACUGACGCUGAGGCACGAAAGCGUGGGUAUCGAACAGGAUUAGAUACCCUGGUAGUCCACGCAGUAAACGAUGAAUGCUGGCUGUCCGGGGGGACUGACCCCUGGGUGCGAAGCGAAAGCGAUAAGCAUUCCACCUGGGGAGUACGCCGGCAACGGUGAAACUCAAAGGAAUUGACGGGGGCCCGCACAAGCGGAGGAACAUGUGGUUUAAUUCGAUGAUACGCGAGGAACCUUACCCGGGCUCAGACGGGGAGUGGCGCAGGCAGAGACGCCUGUUUCCCACGGGACACUCCCCGAGGUGCUGCAUGGUUGUCGUCAGCUCGUGCCGUGAGGUGUCGGCUUAAGUGCCAUAACGAGCGCAACCCCCGCGUGCAGUUGCUAACAGUCAACGCUGAGGACUCUGCACGGACUGCCGGCGCAAGCCGCGAGGAAGGCGGGGAUGACGUCAAAUCAGCACGGCCCUUACGUCCGGGGCGACACACGUGUUACAAUGGGUGGUACAGCGGGAAGCCAGGCGGCGACGCCGAGCGGAACCCGAAAUCCACUCUCAGUUCGGAUCGGAGUCUGCAACCCGACUCCGUGAAGCUGGAUUCGCUAGUAAUCGCGCAUCAGCCAUGGCGCGGUGAAUACGAACCCGGGCCUUGCACACACCGCCCGUCAAG
rnacentral:rRNA from 1 species